ACCUGAUUGCGGGGUGGGGAGACUGGCACAAAAUGUCAAGAGAGAGAACAAGAAAGAAGCACCACCACAGAGAACAUUUGGGCGCCACAACAGCAUCUGCGUGGGGUCUGUUCCAACGGAGAGCCAAAUCUGGAUUAAAUUUACUUUUGGACCUUUGACUUGUUUGUGGUCAUGCCGGAUUUAUCAAGGAAACAGUCUUGGCAUAACCAGCAAGAUCAGAUGACACAGACAGACUCCUCACAGGCCGCAGCAUUGUGUAACACCAGCCAGUGCUGUUGUUUAUCGUCCUGGAUUGUCGAGGGAGGCAUCCUGUCCUGUCCUGUCCUGGAUCUGCACAAACAGCCAAGAGAAAGAAUGCCGUGCGCUUUGAUAAAUGUUGAGAAAAGAAUGAUAAUUUGGGCCAAAUCCGAAUAGACUAAAAGAUGUGAAAAUGCAAAUAGAGCAGGGCGUGUCUCUCUCUCACCGGCCCUGUCUGGGAGUAAGCGUCCAGGCAAAGUGUUUCAUGGUCAGAGGAGGUGUAGAGGGAUCAGUGUGCAAGAUGGACAGAAAGGAUGUUGGGCUGAGAAGUACUGAGAGUGUAAAGCAGAUGUUUGAACCUGACAGGGAGUUAAAUGAAGAAUAACAGCGUGUCACAGAGAAAUUGGUGGUGGGAGAGUAGGCUGCUGAUCGGCACAUGAGAGACUCCCAAAUGUUUAGUCAGACCUACUGAAACUUCUGCUGUAAUUUCACAUAUUUUAUGGUAAAAAUAAGUGUAGUUUGGAAAUCAGGGAAACUGCAAAGAAGGAAUACCAGAUAUGCAUGCUACUUCCAUAUUGGGUGGAAAGUGGCAUCCAUUACAAUUGUUCCGACUUUAAAAAAGCACAAAGAGCUACCCACUUGCAGAAGCAUGUCCACCAGAUAUGAAUACGUGAUUGUGUUUACUACAGCACACAUAGAACAUUUUAUUCUCGUCUGUGGAGCCACGCCCCGGAAGAGCUCAAACCUCAGCCAAAGAUGCACCACAUCUCCUUUUACUCCCUGUUCUUUUUGUUUACAGGACGCAGCUGAGGGGAUGACACCUCACAUCGGACCUGUCAAGUCUCACUCAUCUUAUCUAUGUUUUCUUAGGUUCCCCAUGUCCAUGGCAACACUGUGCCUCCAGUCACGGACGACGGCAUGAGAGCUCAUAGCCAGACUAAUGCAUCCAAACAGUCUAUUUUAAACAUUAGAGUACAGCAUGUGGCCUUUAAACCAAAUUGCCCAGUGACUGCUCAGAUAAACAAACUGGACUCUUAUGAAAAUUCCCCCUGACUGCAGAAAGCCUCAGCGCUGCCACAUUAAGAUAAAACCUGUUGCUAGUGGCAACAGCACAGAGAUACAGUCGAUCAUGAUGACACUGCUGUCACUGUGGACACAAUGCAUAUCACAGUGUCUCCUCAAAGCCAUUAAGUUUCUUUGCAUUUCCUGAUGCUUUCAGGUAAAAAACGUUGCAGCUAAAAUCAUAAUUAUUUUCAUUUAUUACCUCCAGUGUGAAGGCUGAUAAAAGCCGCUGCGGGAGGAGAACACUGGACAAGUUUUGGACUGGAUGAACUCAAAAAUGCUUCAAUAUUCUUCUUUGUCAACAUUACGAAGCUGCAACUUUUUCACCCGACCGCAGCAGUCUCUUUCAUUAUUUUUCUCUGCCAUUAUCAUUCUUUAUUGUAGCACUCUCAAGUCCCUGACUCGGGCCUCUUGCAGAAACUGUUCCCUGUGGUGGUGCAAAUGUUUGAUCAGGUUAUCCUAUAUUAUACCCAAAUGUCUAUUGCUGUACAUAUGUGUUUCUAAUUCAAAUGGGCUCCUUCUGUUUCGUAUCACACUGUAAAGAAGGCACUGAAUCACUGAGCAGAUGCCUGUGCUUGGUAUUUGUGGCCCACAUUAUGCCUGAUCACGUAAAUACACUUUAAAAAAAAAAAGACUGUGAUGCCAGCUUGUCUUUAUUAUGACCCCCAGUAACUGACAGUGAAACAUGUGACAAGUGAAUUUCUCGGCUCCAAACGUGCUCAGAAACAGCCCUCUUCUCUAAAGUCCCACAAAUUGACAAAACUUCAUCAACUUGUUGGGAGUUGAAAAUGUUAAUCUCUGUGUGUACUGAUUGUAUUUUGAUGUGACAGUGAGGGAAAAGAGGUCAGACUUUAUAUAUACACAUACAUGCAUGUAUUAGGGGAAAAUAAAGGCUUGGCCUGGUGUUCUAAUCUCGCACUAACAUCAGCUUAGUUACUGCAGCCAGGCAGCAGUUGAAGCUGUGGAAGUAGCUGUGUCUCAGCAGCUCGACAGAGCCUGGAUCCUGUAUCCUGCACCAACAACACGCCCAGCCUGCUUUAAUGCACAGCCAAGGGUCCGCUGCUGAUUUCACGAUCUCUCUCCAAUGAGACUGUACGAACACACUUGACUACUUGAAUCAACUCUGACCUGAACGGCAUCAAAAAGAAAAACAUUUAAGAAAGGGGGUCAGAAACAUCAUGAAUGAGGAGAUGCAGAUCUGACAGCGACACAGACACGCCUGGAAGAAGUUGCCCUCCGACUGAACCUAAUCAAUGUCAUGUUGUUCAUUAGAAAACGAAACGAAACUGUGUAGUAAGCAUUACUGAUGGAAAGCUUUUUGAGAUUUAUUUCCGUCUCGUCCUGUGUGUUUGUCAUUAAAAUGCUUAAAUGAUUAAACUGGUCUUAGCAAGGUCAGGCCAAACUGAAAACAACAGUGUUUUUGUUCCCUCGCUAAUCUUUCUCUGUGUUGUGAGUCCUUUGUGAGAACUUUUCUUUAUUUGCAGGCAUGCUCUGUGUGAUGUUGUGUGUUUUGCUUCUCUGUACGUGUCACUAAAAUGCAGACAGGACCUUGGAUAGAGAGGUACUGGAAUAAAAAUGCUUGAUUGUGUGUCUA